rnacentral:rRNA from 1 species
AUUGAACGCUGGCGGCAUGCUUUACACAUGCAAGUCGAACGGCAGCACGGGGGCAACCCUGGUGGCGAGUGGCGAACGGGUGAGUAAUGCAUCGGAACGUGCCCUGUCGUGGGGGAUAACAUAUCGAAAGAUGUGCUAAUACCGCAUACGACCUGAGAGUGAAAGCGGGGGACCGUAAGGCCUCGCGCGAUAGGAGCGGCCGAUGUCUGAUUAGCUAGUUGGUGGGGUAAAGGCCUACCAAGGCGACGAUCAGUAGCUGGUCUGAGAGGACGACCAGCCACACUGGGACUGAGACACGGCCCAGACUCCUACGGGAGGCAGCAGUGGGGAAUUUUGGACAAUGGGGGCAACCCUGAUCCAGCCAUGCCGCGUGCGGGAAGAAGGCCUUCGGGUUGUAAACCGCUUUUGGCAGGAACGAAACGGUGCGGGCGAAUACCCUGUGCUAAUGACGGUACCUGCAGAAUAAGCACCGGCUAACUACGUGCCAGCCGCCGCAGUAAGAC